rnacentral:rRNA from 1 species
UGGGGAAUUUUGGACAAUGGGCGCAAGCCUGAUCCAGCCAUGCCGCGUGCAGGAUGAAGGCCUUCGGGUUGUAAACUGCUUUUGUACGGAACGAAAAGACUCCUUCUAAUAAAGGGGGUCCAUGACGGUACCGUAAGAAUAAGCACCGGCUAACUCCGUGCCAGCAGCCGCGGUAAUACGGAGGGUGCAAACGUUAAUCGGAAUUACUGGGCGUAAAGCGUGCGCGGGCGGUUAUGCAAGACAGAGGUGAAAACCCCGGGCUCAACCUGGGAACUGCCUUUGUGACUGCAUAGCUAGAGUACGGUAGAGGGGGAUGGAAUUCCGCGUGUAGCAGUGAAAUGCGUAGAUAUGCGGAGGAACACCGAUGGCGAAGGCAAUCCCCUGGACCUGUACUGACGCUCAUGCACGAAAGCGUGGGGAGCAAACA